rnacentral:lncRNA from 10 species
CAUCACAAAACAGUUUCACAGAUCGCUUAUUUCUAGUUCUUACCUGGGGACAUUUAGUUUUUUCUUGUAUGUCUGAAUGGGCUUCUAAAUGUCUCUUCACAGAAUCUCCAGUUAAAGUGGUUCCAACCUCCUGAAUCAACAGAAACGUUUAACUCUGUGAGGUGAAUACACAUAUCACAAAGCAGUUCCACAGACAGCUUCUUUCUAGUUUUUAUCUAGGCAUAUUUUGUUUUUCCCCAUAGGCCACAAUGGGCUACAAAAUGUCCUUUUGCAUAUUCUCCAAGAAGAGUGUUUCCCACCUGCUGAAUCAAAAGAAUGGUUUACCUCUGGGAGAUAAAUCCACACAGCACAAAGAAGUUUCACAGAUUGCAACUCUCUAGUUUUUUUUUUUCUGGGGAAAUUCAGUUUUUCCCAAUAGUCCUCAAAGGGUUCCCAAAUAUCUCUUGCAGAAUCUACCAAAAGAAUGUUUCCAACCUGCUAAAUCAAAAGAAAAGUUUACCAGUGUAAUAUGAAGCCACACACCACAAAACAGUUUCACAGACAGCUUCUUUCUAGUUUUUAUCUUGGGAUAUUCAAUUUUUCCCCAUAGGCCACAAUGGGCUUUCAAGGGUCCCUUUGCAGAUGCUCCAAAAAGAGGAUUUCCUACCUGCUGAAUCAAAAGGAAGGUUUAACUCUGUGAGAUGAAUCCACACAUCACAAAAGAGUUUCACAGAUGGCUUCUUUAUAGUUUUUUUUCUGGGAAUAUUCAAUUUUGCCCCAUAGGCCACAACAGGCUCAAAUAUGCUUUUUCGCAGAUUUUGCAAAAAGAGUUUUCAAACCUGAUGGAUGAAAAGAAAGUUUUAACUCUGUGAGAUGAAUCCACAUAUUACAAAGCAGUUUCACAGACAGCUUCUUUCUAGUUUUUCUCUGGGGAUAUACUUUUUUGCCACAUAGGCCCCAAUGGGCCCCCGAACGUUCCAUCACAGAUUCUCCAAAAAGAGCAUUUCCAAGCUGUUGAAUCAAAAGAAAAUUUUAACUCCAUCAGAUGAAUCCACACCUCACAAGGCAGUUUCAUAGUUACCUUAUUUCUAGUUUUUACCUGAGGAUAUUUUGUUGAUCCCCAUAGGCCUCAAUGGGCUCCCAAAAGUCCAUUCACAGAUUCUCCAAAAAGAGUGUUUCCAACUUGCUGAUUCAGAAGAAUAGUUUAAUUUUGUGAGAUAAAUUCACACAUCACAUCAGUUUCACAUGUAGUUUCUUUUGAGUUUCUAUCUUGGGAUAUUCAGUUUUUCCCCACAGUCCUCAAUAAGCUCCCAAAUGUCCCUUCAUAGAUUCUCUAAAGUAAGUGUUUUCAACCUGCUGAAUAAAAAGAAACGUUUAUAUCUGGGACAUGAAUACACACAUCACAAAGCAUUUUCUCAGAUAUCUUCUUUCUAGUUUUUAUCUGAGGAUAUUUAGUUUUUUUCUAUAGGCUAAAAUUUGCUCCCAAUUGUCCCCUCGCAAGUUCUCCAAAAAGUGUUUCCAAUCUGCUUAAUCCACAGAAUGGCUUAACUCUCUGAAGGGAAUCCACACACCAUGGAGUUGUGUCACAGAUUCUCUAAAUAGAGUGUUUCCAACCUGCUGAAUCAAAAGAAAACUUGAACUCUCUGCAGUGCUUCCACACAUCCCAAAGCAGUUUCACAGGAAACUUCUUUCUAGUUUUUGUCUGGGUAUAGUUUGUUUUUCCCCACAGGCCUCAGUGGGCUCCCAAAUAUCUCCUUGCAGAUACUCCAAAAAGACUGUCUCCAACGUGCUGAAUCAAAAGAAACGUUUGCUGCUUAGAGAUGAAUCCAAACAUCACAAAACAGUUUCACAGAUAGCUUCCUUCUAGUUUUUAUCUGUGGAUAUUUGGUGUUUCCCCACAGGACUCAGUGGGCUCCCAAAUGUCCCUUUGAGAAUUCUCCAACAAGAGUGUUUCCAACCUCUUGAAUAAAAAAAAAAAUGUUUAACUGUGAGAUGAAGCCACGCAUUGUAAAACAAUUUCACAGAUAUCUUCUUUCCAGUUUUUAUCUGGGAAAUUCGGUUUUUCCCUGUAGGCCUCAAUGGUCUCCAAAAUGUCCUUUCACAGAUCUUCCAAAAAGAGUGCUUCCAACAUGCUGAAGAAAAAUAAAGGUUUUACUCUUUAACAUGAAUUCACACAUCACA